CAUUACCUAGAGUUGUAGGCUUUGCCUGCUAUCUCUUACCCAUGUCUUUUAAGUACCUUACGUUUCCUCGGCGGGUCCGCCCGCCGAUUGGACAAUUUAAACCAUUUGCAGUUGCAAUCAGCGUCUGAAAAAACUUAAUAGUUACAACUUUCAACAACGGAUCUCUUGGUUCUGGCAUCGAUGAAGAACGCAGCGAAAUGCGAUAAGUAGUGUGAAUUGCAGAAUUCAGUGAAUCAUCGAAUCUUUGAACGCACAUUGCGCCCCUUGGUAUUCCAUGGGGCAUGCCUGUUCGAGCGUCAUUUGUACCUUCAAGCUCUGCUUGGUGUUGGGUGUUUGUCUCGCCUCUGCGUGUAGACUCGCCUCAAAACAAUUGGCAGCCGGCGUAUUGAUUUCGGAGCGCAGUACAUCUCGCGCUUUGCACUCAUAACGACGACGUCCAAAAGUACAUUUUUACACUCUUGACCUCGGAUCAGGUAGGGAUACCCGCUGAACUUAAGCAUAUCAAUAA
rnacentral:rRNA from 1 species